CACGUAGGGCGCAAGCGUUGUCCGGAAUUAUUGGGCGUAAAGAGCUCGUAGGUGGUUUGUUACGUCUGCUGUGAAAACCUAGGGCUUAACCCUGGGCUUGCAGUGGAUACGGGCAGACUAGAGGUAGGUAGGGGAGAAUGGAAUUCCUGGUGUAGCGGUGAAAUGCGCAGAUAUCAGGAGGAACACCGGUGGCGAAGGCGGUUCUCUGGGCCUUACCUGACACUGAGGAGCGAAAGCGUGGGGAGCGAACGGG
rnacentral:rRNA from 1 species